rnacentral:rRNA from 1 species
UACGUAGGUCCCGAGCGUUGUCCGGAUUUAUUGGGCGUAAAGCGAGCGCAGGUGGUUUAUUAAGUCUGGUGUAAAAGGCAGUGGCUCAACCAUUGUAUGCAUUGGAGACUGGUAGACUUGAGUGCAGGAGAGGAGAGUGGAAUUCCAUGUGUAGCGGUGAAAUGCGUAGAUAUAUGGAGGAACACCGGUGGCGAAAGCAGCUCUCUGGCCUGUAACUGACACUGAGGCUCGAAAGCGUGGGGAGCAAACAGG